UGGGGAAUUUUGGACAAUGGGCGCAAGCCUGAUCCAGCAAUGCCGCGUGAGUGAAGAAGGCCUUCGGGUUGUAAAGCUCUUUUGUCAGGGAAGAAACGGCCUGGGUUAAUACCUUGGGCUAAUGACGGUACCUGAAGAAUAAGCACCGGCUAACUACGUGCCAGCAGCCGCGGUAAUACGUAGGGUGCAAGCGUUAAUCGGAAUUACUGGGCGUAAAGCGUGCGCAGGCGGUUUUGUAAGUCUGUCGUGAAAGCCCCGGGCUCAACCUGGGAAUUGCGAUGGAGACUGCAAGGCUUGAAUCUGGCAGAGGGGGGUAGAAUUCCACGUGUAGCAGUGAAAUGCGUAGAGAUGUGGAGGAACACCGAUGGCGAAGGCAGCCCCCUGGGUCAAGAUUGACGCUCAUGCACGAAAGCGUGGGGAGCAAACAG
rnacentral:rRNA from 1 species